rnacentral:rRNA from 1 species
GACGAACGCUGGCGGCGUGCUUAACACAUGCAAGUCGAACGGAAAGGCCUCUUUCGGGGGGUACUCGAGUGGCGAACGGGUGAGUAACACGUGAGUAACCUGCCCUUGACUUUGGGAUAACUUCAGGAAACUGGGGCUAAUACCGGAUAGGAGCUCCUGCUGCAUGGUGGGGGUUGGAAAGUUUCGGCGGUUGGGGAUGGACUCGCGGCGUAUCAGCUUGUUGGUGGGGGAGUGGUUUACCAAGGCUUUGACGGGUAGCCGGCCUGGGUGGGUGACCGGCCACAUUGGGACUGAGAUACGGCCCAGACUCCUACGGGAGGCAGCAGUGGGGAAUAUUGCACAAUGGGUGGAAGCCUGAUGCAGCAACGCCGUGUGCGGGAUGACGGCCUUCGGGUUGUAAACCGCUUUCGCUCAUGACGAAGCUUUGUGUGACGGUAGUGGGUAAAGAAGCACCGGCUAACUACGUG